CGUAGGUGGCGAGCGUUGUCCGGAAUUGCUGGGUGUAAAGGGCGUGUAGGCGGGGAAGCAAGUCAGAUGUGAAAUCCCAUGGCUUAACUGUGGGGCUGCAUCUGAAACUGCAUCUCUUGAGUACUGGAGAGGAAAGCGGAAUUCCUAGUGUAGCGGUGAAAUGCGUAGAUAUUAGGAGGAACACCAGUGGCGAAGGCGGCUUUCUGGACAGAAACUGACGCUGAGGCGCGAAAGCGUGGGGAGCAAACAGGAUUAGAUACCCUGGUAGUCCACGCUGUAAACGAUGGAUACUAGGUGUAGGAGGUAUCGACCCCUUCUGUGCCGCAGUUAACACAAUAAGUAUCCCACCUGGGGAGUACGGCCGCAAGGUUG
rnacentral:rRNA from 1 species